rnacentral:rRNA from 1 species
UGGGGAAUAUUGCACAAUGGGCGCAAGCCUGAUGCAGCCAUGCCGCGUGUGUGAAGAAGGCCUUCGGGUUGUAAAGCACUUUCAGCGGGGAGGAAGGCGGUGAGGUUAAUAACCUCAUCGAUUGACGUUACCCGCAGAAGAAGCACCGGCUAACUCCGUGCCAGCAGCCGCGGUAAUACGGAGGGUGCAAGCGUUAAUCGGAAUUACUGGGCGUAAAGCGCACGCAGGCGGUUUGUUAAGUCAGAUGUGAAAUCCCCGGGCUCAACCUGGGAACUGCAUCUGAUACUUGCAAGCUUGAGUCUCGUAGAGGGGGGUAGAAUUCCAGGUGUAGCGGUGAAAUGCGUAGAGAUCUGGAGGAAUACCGGUGGCGAAGGCGGCCCCCUGGACGAAGACUGACGCUCAGGUGCGAAAGCGUGGGGAGCAAACAGG